GUGCAAAAGUAACUGUGGUUUUUGCUAUUAAAAGUAAUGGCAAAAACUGCAAUUACUUU
rnacentral:miRNA from 10 species